AGAGGGAACCCGGUGGGAGUCCGGGACUGUCCCGCAGCGGUAUGCAGGAACGACCGCCGUCACAAGCACUGGUCUGAGAAACAUCGGAGACCGGGAAGCGACGGCCACUAGGAGCACCACCGCGGUGCGCGCCUGCGAGUCCGAAGACCU
rnacentral:ncRNA from 1 species